rnacentral:rRNA from 1 species
UACGAAGGGGGCUAGCGUUGCUCGGAAUUACUGGGCGUAAAGGGCGCGUAGGCGGACGGCUUUGUCGGGCGUGAAAUUCCAGGGCUUAACCUUGGGGCUGCGUUCGAGACGGGUUGUCUAGAGUUUGGAAGAGGGUCGUGGAAUUCCCAGUGUAGAGGUGAAAUUCGUAGAUAUUGGGAAGAACACCGGUGGCGAAGGCGGCGACCUGGUCCUUGACUGACGCUGAGGCGCGAAAGCGUGGGGAGCAAACAGG